AUUUUUUUUUCAAAAAAAAAAAAAAUAACGACGAAUAUAGUUGCUAUGUAUAGACUUCAAUUUCUAGAAUACACAUUUACAGCUCAUUAAGAAAACGUUUCUAAUUUACAACAGUAAUAUCGAUAUAUGGCACACAAGCAUUACUACAAAAAAGAGUUCUUUCCACCAAGCAGAAAAAUUAAUACUUGGGUUUUGACAUUGGAAGUACUUCCAACUAAUGUUCUACUUCAAGUGAAGGUAUCCUCCCGGUCUCCCUCUGCAGUUUCACCCUCCUCCAAGUUGCUGAAUUCCAAGUAAUGGGUUGGUCGAUGAUCCUCAUGAUAAUACUCCCGUGGUGUCCCCAGCUUGAU
rnacentral:misc_RNA from 1 species